rnacentral:rRNA from 1 species
AUUGAACGCUGGCGGCAGGCCUAACACAUGCAAGUCGGACGGUAGCACAGAGAGCUUGCUCUUGGGUGACGAGUGGCGGACGGGUGAGUAAUGUCUGGGGAUCUGCCCGAUAGAGGGGGAUAACCACUGGAAACGGUGGCUAAUACCGCAUAACGUCGCAAGACCAAAGAGGGGGACCUUCGGGCCUCUCACUAUCGGAUGAACCCAGAUGGGAUUAGCUAGUAGGCGGGGUAAUGGCCCACCUAGGCGACGAUCCCUAGCUGGUCUGAGAGGAUGACCAGCCACACUGGAACUGAGACACGGUCCAGACUCCUACGGGAGGCAGCAGUGGGGAAUAUUGCACAAUGGGCGCAAGCCUGAUGCAGCCAUGCCGCGUGUAUGAAGAAGGCCUUCGGGUUGUAAAGUACUUUCAGCGGGGAGGAAGGCGGUGAGGUUAAUAACCUCGCCGAUUGACGUUACCCGCAGAAGAAGCACCGGCUAACUCCGUGCCAGCCGCCGCAGUAACAC